rnacentral:rRNA from 1 species
AGGGAAUCUUCGGCAAUGGACGGAAGUCUGACCGAGCAACGCCGCGUGAGUGAAGAAGGUUUUCGGAUCGUAAGGCUCUGUUGUAAGAGAAGAACGAGUGUGAGAGUGGAAAGUUCACACUGUGACGGUAUCUUACCAGAAAGGGACGGCUAACUACGUGCCAGCAGCCGCGGUAAUACGUAGGUCCCGAGCGUUGUCCGGAUUUAUUGGGCGUAAAGCGAGCGCAGGCGGUUAGAUAAGUCUGAAGUUAAAGGCUGUGGCUUAACCAUAGUACGCUUUGGAAACUGUUUAACUUGAGUGCAAGAGGGGAGAGUGGAAUUCCAUGUGUAGCGGUGAAAUGCGUAGAUAUAUGGAGGAACACCGGUGGCGAAAGCGGCUCUCUGGCUUGUAACUGACGCUGAGGCUCGAAAGCGUGGGGAGCAAACAGGAUUAGAUACCCUGGUAGUCCACGCCGUAAACGAUGAGUGCUAGGUGUUAGACCCUUUCCGGGGUUUAGUGCCGUAGCUAACGCAUUAAGCACUCCGCCUGGGGAGUACGACCGCAAGGUUG